AGGGAGGCAGCAGUGAGGAAUAUUGGGCAAUGGGCGAAAGCCUGACCCAGCGACGCCGUGUGGGUGAUGAAGGCCUUCGGGUUGUAAAGCCCUGUUGGGUGGAAAGAAGGGCUUUUGGACGAAUAAUCCAGAAGUCUUGACGGUACCACCAGAGGAAGCACCGGCUAACUCCGUGCCAGCAGCCGCGGUAAUACGGAGGGUGCAAGCGUUGUUCGGAAUUACUGGGCGUAAAGGGCGCGUAGGUGGUUGUGUAAGUCAGAUGUGAAAUCCCGAGGCUCAACUUCGGAACUGCAUCUGAUACUGCAUGACUCGAGUGCAGCAGAGGGAAACGGAAUUCCUGGUGUAGAGGUGAAAUUCGUAGAUAUCAGGAGGAACACCGGUGGCGAAGGCGGUUUCCUGGGCUGACACUGACACUGAGGCGCGAAAGCGUGGGUAGCAAACAGGAUUAGAUACCCCGGU
rnacentral:rRNA from 1 species